rfam:Ferrithrix thermotolerans DSM 19514 genome assembly, contig: EJ54DRAFT_scaffold00018.18
GCCCGGGUGGCGGAAUGGUAGACGCAGGGGGCUUAAACCCCCCGGGCCGCAAGGCCAUGCGGGUUCGAGUCCCGCCUCGGGUA